GAUCCUGGCUCAGGAUGAACGCUGGCGGCGCGCCUAACACAUGCAAGUCGAACGAGUAAGACGCCUUCGGGCGUGGAUAGAGUGGCGAACGGGUGAGUAACACGUGACCAACCUGCCCCCUCCUCCGGGACAACCUCGGGAAACCGAGGCUAAUACCGGAUACUCCGGGCCCCCCGCAUGGGGGGCCCGGGAAAGCCCUGGCGGGAGGGGAUGGGGUCGCGGCCCAUCAGGUAGACGGCGGGGUAACGGCCCACCGUGCCUACUACGGGUAGCCGGG
rnacentral:rRNA from 1 species